AGAUUGAACGCUGGCGGCAUGCCUUACACAUGCAAGUCGAACGGCAGCACGGGAGCAAUCCCGGUGGCGAGUGGCGAACGGGUGAGUAAUACAUCGGAACGUGCCCAAUCGUGGGGGAUAACGCAGCGAAAGCUGUGCUAAUACCGCAUAAGAUCUACGGAUGAAAGCAGGGGAUCGCAAGACCUUGCGCGAAUGGAGCGGCCGAUGGCAGAUUAGGUAGUUGGUGAGGUAAAGGCUCACCAAGCCUUCGAUCUGUAGCUGGUCUGAGAGGACGACCAGCCACACUGGGACUGAGACACGGCCCAGACUCCUACGGGAGGCAGCAGUGGGGAAUUUUGGACAAUGGGCGAAAGCCUGAUCCAGCCAUGCCGCGUGCAGGAUGAAGGCCUUCGGUUGUAAACUGCUUUUGUACGGAACGAAAAGUACUCUUUACUAAUAAAGAGGAUCAUGACGUACGUAAGAAUAAGACACCGACUAACUACGU
rnacentral:rRNA from 1 species